GACGAACGCUGGCGGCGUGCUUAACACAUGCAAGUCGAACGAAGUGGCGAACGGGUGAGUAAUACGUGGGUAACCUGCCCUCCUUAUUGGGUUAAGCCUUGGAAACGGGGCCUAAUACCCAAUAAAGGGUGACGGGCUCGCGGCCUAUCGGCUUGUUGGUGGGGUGAUGGCCUACCAAGGCGGUGACGGUUAGCCGGCCUGAGAGGGUGACCGGCGACAUAUGAACGGUAAUACGGCCCACACUACGACGGAGGGCAGCAGUGGGUGAAAUUGGUCAAUGGGCGAAAGACUGAUGCAGCGACGCUGCGUGGGGGCUGAAGGCUUUCGGGUUCUAAACCUGUGUCGCAAUGGGACGGGUAGGUGCAGAAGAAGCGCCGGCUAACUACGUGCCAGCAGCCGCGGUAAUAC
rnacentral:rRNA from 1 species